AAUCUUGGAAAAAAACAAAUGAGCCAAUGUUCUUCGUGACCUAGAAAAGCUAAAGUGAAAAAUGAUUUAUUUGCGGCAAGGCUUGAACUCAGAUGCUUGAAUAACGAUUGAUCCUGCUUCACCUCUGAGCCACCCUUUCAUCAUUAAUCAAAGCAGGUCCGGCCCUGACGGAGAGCGUUGAAAUUAGGCAUAAUUUUUGGGUAUGGAAUAAAGUAGCACAUCAUUUAGCAAAGGAAGGAUCCAAGCUAGCCAAACCUUGUGACUUGGUCAUCUACCGGGUUCCUCCUUUAUUUGUUAAUUCGACCGCCUUGCCGGAUAAAGCAGGAAAGAAUUUUGGGACAUCGAUUUCAGCUAGUAAUUGAAACUCCAAUGAAGACGACUACUCCUCUGCUUAUAUGUCUUCUCCUAUUCGGUUGGUUCUUCUUUCAUGUCUCCUCUGCUACUGACUUACCCCUCGGAAUCCAUCCUCUAGAUGAGAAGUACUAUGGUUCGGAGGUAAUCAAAUGCAAAGAUGGGUCUAAUUCCUUUACCAAAGAUCGCCUCAACGACGAUUUCUGUGAUUGCCUCGACGGAACGGAUGAGCCCGGUACGCAUUUUCUUAUAUUAAUUAAACUAUGUGACUUGCCUAUAAGCUUAAACUUUAGAGAGAUACAAUAACAACAACAAACCUAGUGCAAUCCUACGAUACGAGUGGGGUCAGGAGGGUAAUGUGUAUGUAGAUUUUACCCCUACCUUAAGAAGGUAGAGAGGUUGUUUCCAAUAGACCAUUAGAAACAACUCUUUUAGAGAGAUAGCACAUUCAUUUAUUUAUUUUAGGUUUGGUAUAUGCUGGAAUGAGCUUAUAUUUUUUUUCUUGGAAUAAACAUGUGGAAAUAUUAUACUUACUGAUGUGUUACAUUUAGACUCAAGCCCUGCUGCUCUGUGCAUAUUGAAUUGUGUGAACUAUCUUAUCUAAAUGUUUACUCUGCUGAGGGAGAACCCUUUAUUUUAGGUUUGUAACAUCCACUUGUUCAUUACUUGUGUCUGAUAUAUUGAUAGUAGUAUAAGUAUGCAAAAAGUUAUAGGUAGAUUCCCGUGUGGAUUUGUUUGCAUUAACUCCUAGGCCGAAGGAUCAAACUUCAAUACAGAAAACUCCAUAUAUUGGAAGGCCUCCAAGCAUGCGCAAAUCACACAGUGAGAUGGAGAGCUCGCCGAUGUCAAUAUAAGCUGUGUUAGUUGACGGAUGCCAUAGUUCUGAAAAAGGCCCACAAGACAUUCUCAUUGAGGUCAAUGUGAAGAAAGAAGCAAAAAUGGUAUCAUAACAUCUUGAUGCGUUCCAAAACCUCCUUAUUGUGGCCAAGGAUAUCUUCUGCUCAUUUCCAAUAACAAGUCGUGCCCCGAACCUCAUGGAAGCUAGAAUGAGUAUAGUUCAAGUGGCAAAACCUUAAUCGGAAUAUUUAAUGCUAGCAGAUAUAACAUUCCUCUCAUGAGUUGAUGAUUUCAACAUGAGAAACUGUGUUGAUGACCUUGCUUGAGAAAGUUUCAAAAAAUUUCAUGUACCACCUUCAGGCUUCAACUAGGCCCGUUCAUGGAUCGGAUCGGAUUGGAUUUAGCACUUUUCGGAUUAUAAUUUUGGAUUUCGGAUUUUGUAAAUUGCAAUUUGAAUCCGUAAUUUGGAUUGGAUUGGAUUUUGAUAUUUGGAUCGGAUAAAUAUUUCGGAUUUCGGUUCGGA